AAGACUAUAAUUCCAGGGGUCAUUUCUAUAGUUUACUAGACAAGUUUCUCUCAAUGUGCGGAGUACCCAAAACCAUAAGGAGGAGGCAGAAAAAAAUCUCUUCCAGACCUUGCUUUUAAAAAGGUGAAUUACACCUUUUUGGGUGAAAUUCUUUUGGGUGUAUACCCAGAGGU
rnacentral:snoRNA from 1 species